GAUGAAGAACGCAGCGAAAUGCGAUAAGUAGUGUGAAUUGCAGAAUUCAGGGAAUCAUCGAAUCUUUGAACGCACAUUGCGCCCCUUGGUAUUCCAUGGGGCAUGCCUGUUCGAGCGUCAUUUGUACCUUCAAGCUCUGCUUGGUGUUGGGUGUUUGUCUCGCCUCUGCGUGUAGACUCGCCUCAAAACAAUUGGCAGCCGGCGUAUUGAUUUCGGAGCGCAGUACAUCUCGCGCUUUGCACUAAUAACGACGACGUCCAAAAGUACAUUUUUACACUCUUGACCUCGGAUCAGGUAGGGAUACCCGCUGAACUUAAGCAUAUCAAUAAGCGGAGGA
rnacentral:misc_RNA from 1 species